CAGAAAGUAGUUUAAUACAGAAUUCCAGCUUUGGGAGUUGGAGGUGGAGGUUCGAUUCCUCUUUUUCUGA
rnacentral:tRNA from 1 species